rfam:Larimichthys crocea isolate SSNF unplaced genomic scaffold scaffold511, whole genome shotgun sequence.
UGUUCCCUUCUCUGUGAGUCGCUUUGGAUAAAAGUGCCUGCUAAAUGGCUAAAU